rnacentral:rRNA from 1 species
CGGUAUCUAUAAACCGAGAGUCAAGGUCUAUAUUUACGGUCCAGCAGCCGCGGUAAUUCGUAGGGUCGCCAAGCGUAUGCGGGAUUUAUUGGGCGUAAAGAAGAAGCGCAGGGCGGUUUUAUAUAGUCUGAUGUGAAAAGCUUUCGGUCUUAACCGAAGAAGCGUCAUUCGGAAACUGGGAUAAUCUUGAGUGCAAGAAGGAGCGUAGUGGAACUACAUGUGUAGCGGUGGAAAUGCGUAGAUAUAUAGGAGCACCACAGUGGAGAACGCGGGCUAUUUUGUGUGCAACUGACGGUGAGUCUAGAAAGCAUGGGUAGCGAACAGGAUUAGAUACCCUGGUAGUCCAUGCCCGUAACGAUGAGUGCUAGGUGUUGGAAGGUGAGUUCUAGGUGUUGGAGGGUUUCCGCCCUUCAGUGCCGGAGCUAACGCAUUAAGCACUGCCUGGGGAGUACGACCGCAAGGUUGAAACUCAAAGGAAUUGACGGGGGCCCGCACAAGCGCGGUAGAGCAUGUGGUUUAAUUCGAAGCUACGCGAAGAACCUUACCAGGUCUUGACAUCUUGCGCCAACCCUAGAGAUAGGGCGUUUCCUUCGGGAACGCAAAGACAGGUGGUGCAUGGUCGUCGUCAGCUCGUGUCGUGAGAUGUUGGGUUAAGUCCCGCAACGAGCGCAACCCUUGUUACUAGUUCCCCACAUUAAGUUGGGCUCUUUAGUGAGACCCGCGGUCACAAACCGGGAGGAGGGGGGGGAGGCGUCAUAUUCACAUGCCCCUUAUGACCUGGGCCACACCCGUUCCACAAUGGGCGGUACCAAGAGUCGAGAACUCGAGGGGGCAAGCAUAUUUUUUAAACCCGUUCUCAUGUUCGGACUGCAGGCUGCAACUCGCCUGCACGAAGUCGGAAUCGCUAGUAAUCGCGGAUCAGCAUGCCGCGGUGAAUACGUUCCCGGGCCUUGUACACACCGCCCGUCACACCAUGAGAGUUUGUAACACCCAAAGUCGGCGGGGUAACCUUAGGAGCCUCCGCUAAGGUGACAGAUUGG